GACGAACGCUGGCGGCGUGCUUAACACAUGCAAGUCGAACGAUGAAGCCCUUCGGGGUGGAUUAGUGGCGAACGGGUGAGUAACACGUGGGCAAUCUGCCCUUCACUCUGGGACAAGCCCCUGGAAACGGGGUCUAAUACCGGAUAUGACACACGGCCGCAUGGUCUGUGUGUGGAAAGCUCCGGCGGUGAAGGAUGAGCCCGCGGCCUAUCAGCUUGUUGGUGGGGUGANGGCCUACCAAGGCGACGACGGGUAGCCGGCCUGAGAGGGCGACCGGCCACACUGGGACUGAGACACGGCCCAGACUCCUACGGGAGGCAGCAGUGGGGAAUCUUGCGCAAUGGGCGAAAGCCUGACGCAGCGACGCCGCGUGAGGGAUGACGGCCU
rnacentral:rRNA from 1 species